GCGGCAAUAGCUUAGUGGUAGAGCCUCCGCCUCGUGUGCGGGGAGACCCGGGUUCGAUUCCGGGCUGCUUCC
rfam:Toxocara canis scaffold14, whole genome shotgun sequence.